AUACGGAGGAUCCAAGCGUUAUCCGGAUUUAUUGGGUUUAAAGGGAGCGUAGGUGGACGUAUAAGUCAGUUGUGAAAGUUUGCGGCUCAACCGUAAAAUCGCAGUUGAUACUGUAUGUCUUGAGUGUACAAGAGGUGGGCGGAAUUCGUGGUGUAGCGGUGAAAUGCUUAGAUAUCACGAGGAACUCCGAUUGCGGAAGGCAGCUCACUGGGGUGCAACUGACACUGAGGCUCGAAAGUGUGGGUAUC
rnacentral:rRNA from 1 species